rnacentral:rRNA from 1 species
UACGUAGGGUGCAACCGUUGUUCGGAUUCAUUGGGCGUAAAGGGUGCGUAGGCGGUCGCGCAAGUCGGAUGUGAAAUCUCAGGGCUCAACCCUGAAACUGCAUUCGAUACUGCGUGGCUAGAGUGCUGGAGAGGAGACUGGAAUUUACGGUGUAGCAGUGAAAUGCGUAGAUAUCGUAAGGAAGACCAGUGGCGAAGGCGGCUUUCUGGUCUGUAACUGACGCUGAGGCGCGAAAGCGUGGGGAGCAAACAGG